rnacentral:lncRNA from 10 species
GAAUUACAGGCACGUGCCACCAUCCCUGGCUAAUUUUUGUAUUUUUUGGUAGAGAUGGGGUUUCAACAUGUUGGCCAGGCUGGUCUUGGACUCCUGACCUCAGGUGAUCUGCCUGUCUUGGCCUCCCAAAGUGCUGGGAUUACAGGCGUGAGCCCCUGCGUCCGGCCUAGAAAAUUUUAAAUUACAUAUGUGGCUUGCAUUCUAUUUCUAUUGGCCAGCACUCGUAUAGAGUAGCCUUGUAUGUGUUCUUGGUCAGAUUCCCAGGGAGAGUUUCUGUCUCAGCCCUGAGUCAGCAGGGCCCUCGCCUGUGAUGAAUGCCCCCCUGGUACAAUCAGCUUUGUCGGGAGAGUGGCAUAAGAUGCGCUGCCGGCUCAGCAGAGGCUGUGGGUGUGGCAGGCAGGAUAAGGCCAUGUCUAAGAUAUGGUGUCCUCCUGAUUUUCAACAAGAAAUAUUACAUGAGCAAAUGGCAGGAUUAUUUAUUGAGCCAUGCAGGUGCGCUCUCUCUACCUUUGCACUCCUCUCCUCAUUCUAAUUGGUAGUUGGGCCUUUUGAGAAUCCGUAUAUCCAGGGAGUUUGUGUUUCAGGGGCAAAGCUGAGGUGUUGGAGAUUACCACUCUACCUGUGGUAGGUGGAUUAUGCCAGGUGGCCCAGGGUAAUGGGGUGAGAGUAAAAAAAAAAAGGAGAGGAGGGACACUUUUGUCUCUAAGACUGGGAUAGGAGCAGAGUGGAGUGGAGAAGAGGUUAGCCACUCUCCUGCUAGGGGCAGAGAUCUGUGUCAGGACCCAGUGGAGGGGGUGGGAAGAACCCAGGCCACAGCCUUGCUGAAGACCUGAGCCCCUUUUUGGCAUAGAAGCCUUCCAACUAACAGUCUUCAAGUGACCACAUGAGCUCUGAAAACUAUCAUAACAGCAGCCAUGGAAGGAAUGUAUCCUAAUUUUCUAGACCUCCCAGAAUUUCUCAUGACUCAGUGGGAGAUUGAGAUUGCCUCCAAUCCUAGUGGGAUAGAAGCUUAGAGAAACCAAAUUGAAUUUGUUUGCUUUUGUUCUGUGUGUGGGGAAUACUGGUAUCCUAGGCCAAGGAAGCCCAAUUUCCCUUGGUGUUUAUAGGAUAGAUAGUCUCAUUUACACUUGCAACAAAAGGCUUAGCAACCUGGUCCCUAAGCCAGUGCCUUGCCUAUUCAGUCACUCAUAGCUUUAGUUUUUUCUGAGUGGAGACAAGGCCUAACAGUCAGAACAUUGCUCUCUCUGCAGCCCCCUACUCCACAUCACCCAGGACUAUCAAUCCUAGGAUUCUCUCUUGGACGCCUUGCAUUCAAACAGCCACCAAAUCCUACCUCCACCUGAUCUCCUGAUCUCCCAAAUCCAUUCCUCUCUCUUUUUCUUCAUUGUUAAUGUUGCAAGCUUCUAGGUGAUGCUGGUGUUGCACUCUAGGGACCACACAUUGAGGAACACUGAUCUAUAGGCUCUCUGGUAUUAUCAGGUGUCUCAGCAGAUUCUUAGAUGAAUGAAAAUGUGAACUCCAGCUUUAGUGCAAUUGAUACGGGAGGUGCCUAUGCCACGUGUUAUUUUUUUGUACCAAACGUUGCUCUUGGGCUAACGUAUCAAUUCUAUUUCACCAAGAGUAACUUCAGUCCACACUGACUCAAGAAGCCAAGAAUGCUGAGAUGCAUUUCAUUCAAACAUUCUCCCCUUUGCAGGGAGAUCAAGAUGGAGGCAUCCAGCUUCUGCCAAGGAUGUCAGUGCCAGUCCUGUGCAAAACCAGUUCCGGUUCUUUCUAGUUCUUCACGCAGGCUUGAACAAUGAUGUGACUGUAAACCGUGUGUGUGUGUGUGUGUGUGUGUGUGUGUGUAUGUGUGUGCUAAUACGAUUUAGGUUGGAUUUGGACACUGAGGAACAGUUCCUGGAGAUGCUGAGGAUUAGUGGUAGCAGCUGUUAUUCUCCCCAUUAGAGGAAAAACUGAAAGGAGAAGAAAAUACUUAUGUUUAAGGGAUGUGUUUGCAACUCUGCGGGAGGAAGCCAUUCUAUCAAGCCUGAAGAAAACUGUGUUCCUAGGAGAGGGCAGGAUGAGGAUGCAGGCUGCCCUCGUGGGCUGGGCUUGUACCACCCUCUGCCUGGCUUCCUGCUCAUCUGCCUUUUCCCAUGGUGCCAGCACGGUGGCCUGUGAUGACAUGCAGCCCAAGCACAUCCAAGCCCAGCCUCAGCACCAGGACAGCCACCACAUCACCAUCCACACCCACAGGACUUCCUAUGCACCAGGUGACAAGAUUCCAGUUUAGGUGCCUAUAAAAGCAGGGAAAGAACGUGAGCGCAGGUGGUUUAUGUGAGAGAUCAUCCCAGGAAACACAGGUGAGGAAGAGGGAAAGGGAGCUGGGCAAGAGGAGAUGCCAGUCAAGGGCGUGCAACUGAGCAGGUCUCUGCUGUGGGCAACCGAGGUGCAUUCCAGUGGGGACCCUCUGAGAAGCCAUGUGAAACACCUCUGAAUCAUCUCUCAGGAAGAUGCAGGGGCAGGGAACUUACCAGUUUCGGGUUGCCCCCACCAGGGGUGUUUCUACCUCCAUGCCCCGCCCCCACUCCCCAAACUCACACACACUCUUCAGAGUCCACAGCUUACCUUGGACCAAGCUUGGAAGUGGCAGUGAGGGACAGCAGAGAAGGAAGCUACAGAUACUUCAGAUGCCACGAAGUGUAGGCAGAGAACUAUGCACCCAAGGUGAGCUCCAACACAUCAGCAACUUUUGCCCUAAACCCCUCUUGAUUUUUGCUGAUUCUUUUGAUAGGAACUAAAGGUGAUAAACAAAAAUGAAAUUUACUCUAUAAAUAUUGUUUUACCCAUUCAUUUCGCUCUCUUGAGAAGUGUGAAAAAACAUGGGUGGAUAGUAUAUGA